rnacentral:tRNA from 1 species
UCCCUGGAGGACUAGUGGUUAAGCCUCAGUGCUCUCACCGCCGCAGCUUCGGUUCGAUUCUUGGCCAGGGAA